ACAUUGCUCUUGGUUUCCCAUAACUGUGAAAACACUAAGAACCAAGUAGAAAUUUUCCGGGGAGAAGUUCUUCGGCUGGCGGUGGGGCCCAAACUGAGAAAGGCCACAGCAUCACUUCAGCGGCAGUGGACGGUCGGGGCCAGAGGGGGCCCCCUGAAGGACAGGAGUGACCAGACAAAAAGGAGAAUGGUCUCGCUUCUUGCCCAAGAUUGGCGGGGGGUAGAGAGGGGGUGGAAGGUGGUCGGGGAGUAAAAAACACAAAAUAUGAAUCUUCAAAGGGUUUGCAAAUAUGGUGUAUUUCUUCUUGCAGGACUCAAACCACUCUCUCUAGAUGCAUAGCACAGGCCCUUCUAGCUGCAACCAAGAUCCUCUCUAGGGAGCUGGACUACAGAUUCCACAAGGGCAAGGCCUGCUUAUCUUAUUUCUUCAUCCUAAAUUUAUUCAUUUGACCAACUCUGGCACUCCAGACCGCAUGCCCUGAGGUCCAAAGGCCAGCAAUUCUGGGCUGUGGCCCUCCGGUAGCCCUUCAUCUGCUGGGGAGGCUGGCGAGUAAACAAGUCAAUGGAACAUUAUGCCACAAUGACACAGCGCAGUGAGUGCCAUCCUGCGGAACGAAGCCCAGAAAAAAAUACUCAAGAUGUCUUCCAAGAUUGAAGCAAUGAUAUCUGAGCCAAUCCAACCAACUCAGCAGCCACCUUAUCCUCAAGGAUCUUGGAUGUGCAGUAAUUCCCAUCUCCCACCCAGCCCUCCUGACACUCGCCACAGGGGAACUUUCACCCGGCACAACACGGACAGCGUCGCCUAGUGAACACACCCCCACCCCACGCCCCAAAGUUCGAAGUUGAGAAUAAGCCAUUUGCUGGUGGACUCGGUUCCCACAGGAGGGACGAGGAUGGCUGCCAUCUGCACAUCAGCUGCCUGGGACUUAACAUUUCGCACGUCACGUUUCAAACAGAGGCAGCAGCUGCAGCUGAGAUGAAGCAUAUCCAAGUAUACUUAGCCCUUACUAUAUUGGAAGAAAACAUAUUUCCCAGUUCCGAUGACCUUCAUUUUCUGCUGUAUUCAAGUCUUACAUAAUUUAA